AAGUAAGAGUAAAUAAUGUUCAAAAUACAAAUUAUGGAAACUCUUAAAACUAUUAAUUUCUCAAUUUAUUUAUUCCUAAAGUAUCCAUAUAUAGUCUUUCGUUUUUUUCUUGUAUUAUGAAAAAUUAAGAAAAGAGAAAUUUUAUUAACACAUCUCUAAUUAUUAGAUACACAUUUCAUACUUAAUACACCACUUGUUAACUUUUUUGUUUUAACAUUUUACUAGAUACACAUACUCAAACUUCCUACAAUACUCUCAUUUAACAUACACAAAUUAUUCGCUAAAUAAACAACUCAUUCACUACACAUAUUUUUCUAGAUCUGCUACUCAAUUUAUUUUUUAAAAAAAAAUCACAUUACUAAGAUUUUUCUCAAAAUGUUUCAUAUUUCCUCAUACUAUUUCACCUCAUUGACAUAUUCCUUAAAUGUUUUUAUUUUUUCUCUAAAGGGUUUCACCUUGUUAAGAUCUUCCUCGAGAGAUUUCCCCUUUGUUAACAUCUUCUCCCAUUAGUUUUCUUCGACAAAUUUUCUUCUCAAGGAGCCUCUUACUUAAAUUGAUUUCAAGAUUUCUUGAGCCUACCGAAUCAAAACAAAACAAGACAAUACAUCACAAAAGUCUUUAACGGAACUUUCAGCAUUUAGAAUGUUCAAUCCUGUGUAAAACUAAAUUAACCGAUUCUUAGAAACCAUUAUAUAAUAUUCAUAUGCGGUGUCAAAAUAUUGGUACUCGAUUCAACUUUAAAA
rnacentral:lncRNA from 1 species